GAUGAAGAACGCAGCGAAAUGCGAUAAGUAAUGUGAAUUGCAGAAUUCAGUGAAUCAUCGAAUCUUUGAACGCACAUUGCGCCCCUUGGUAUUCCGGGGGGCAUGCCUGUUCGAGCGUCAUUUCAACCCUCAAGCUCUGCUUGGUAUUGGGCACCGUCCUUUGCGGGCGCGCCUCAAAGACCUCGGCGGUGGCGUCUUGCCUCAAGCGUAGUAGAAUACACCUCGCUUCGGAGCGUAAGGCGUCGCCCGCCGGACGAACCUUCUGAACUUUUCUCAAGGUUGACCUCGGAUCAGGUAGGGAUACCCGCUGAACUUAAACAUAUCAAUAAGCGGAGGA
rnacentral:misc_RNA from 1 species